rnacentral:rRNA from 1 species
UACGUAGGGGGCUAGCGUUGUCCGGAAUCAUUGGGCGUAAAGCGCGUGUAGGCGGUCCGGUAAGUCCGCUGUGAAAGUCGGGGGCUCAACCCUCGGAUGCCGGUGGAGUACUGUCGGGCUUGAGUACGGAAGAGGCGAGUGGAAUUCCUGGUGUAGCGGUGAAAUGCGCAGAUAUCAAGGAGGAACACCAAUUGCGAAGGCAGCUCGCUGGGACGUUACUGACGCUGAGACGCGAAAGCGUGGGGAGCAAACAGG